UGGUCUUGACAUCUACGGAACCUUCGUGAAAGCGAGGGGUGCCUUUCGGGGAGCCGUAAGAU
rnacentral:rRNA from 1 species